rnacentral:rRNA from 1 species
AUGCAUGUAUCAGUACAAGCCACACUAAGGUGAAACCGCGAAUGGCUCAUUAAAUCAGUUAUUAUUUCCUGGCCGAGACAGUGAUACAUGGAUAACUGUGGUAAUUCUAGAGCUAAUACAUGCAACCGAGCCCCAGUGUCUGCUCUCGGGCAGGCCGGGGCGCUUUUAUUGGCUGAAAUCCGAUGACCGCCCUCGUGGCGGUCGUUCUCCGAUGAAUCACAAUAACAUUGUGUGGAUCGUACGGUCUUGUACCGACGACGCGCCUUUCAAAUAUCUGCCUUAUCAGCUCUCGACGGUUUGCUAGUGGCUGACCGUGGCUCUGACGGGUAACGGGGAAUCUGGGUUCGGUUCCGGAGAGGGAGCCUGAGAGAUGGCUACCACAUCUAAGGAAGGCAGCAGGCGCGUAACUUACCCACUCCCAGUUCAGGGAGGUAGUGACAAUAAAUACCUUACAGAGGUCUCGUUAACCGAGAUCUCUCAAACGGAAUGAGUACAACGUGAAUCCUUUAACGAGGAUCGACUGGAGGGCAAGCCUGGUGCCAGCAGCCGCGGUAAUUCCAGCUCCAGUAGCGUAUAUUAAAGCUGUUGCGGUUAAAAAGCUCGUAGUUGGAUAUCAGUGCGUGUCCGGUCCGGUAUGCCUGUUGGCGGCGCUCACGCGUCACCGGCGGGCUCCCAAAUAUCGGCUGGCCGCAUUCAAUCGUGCCGGAU